CAAAGAGAAAUACCAUAAAGACAAGUUUUUAUUUUAUUUUAAAAUACCAGUACUUUGGAAAAUGUACCAAAAUAUAGCAAAAUUUAUAGUAUUUAAUUAGGGAGGGUCUUUAAAAUUUUAUUAAGAAUUACUAAGCCGAAACUAAAUGGGUUGGCUGAUUUUAUAGCCAUAAACUAGUUGUAUUCUCAGCUUUUCUCCCCAACCUUUUUGCCCCUGAAAAUUCCACCAUAAACUUAGAUAAUUCUCACAAUUGCAACAUGUACUUUCAGAUUCAUCCUUAAAACUACGCAUCCAAUUGAACCGGCCAAUAAACCAGUAUCACAUAACCCGGUUUGAUUUAAUUCAAAUUUAACCAAAUUUAAACCCGAUUUUGACCCGAAUCUUUUCUUCUUCACCAGAUUUUGACCCGAUUUAUUUUUUCUUCUUCCUCUUCAUGAAGAGACGUCGUCUGGGCGUGGCUUCUCCGACGAGCCACAGCAACAGCAUCGUCGGGAGCAUGAGCAGCUUCCUCCGUCAAGCAUUCUCACGCCGUAAUCACCAGCGUUGGCAUCGCCGGAAAAAAAAGUCAAAAUCAAAAAUAGAAUUUCACCAACAAGCCUUUUCGAGCCACAGCAACAGCAUCGUCGAGAGCAUGAGCAGCUUCCUCCGUCAAGCAUUCUCUCGCCGUAAUCACCAGCGUUGGCAUCGCCGGAAAAAAAGUCAAAAUCAAAAACUGGGAGAAUAAUUGCAAAUUUGAUUGUGAUGGGUUUUGGGAUUAUUGGUCGUUCUGGGAAUGAAGAUGAAAAAGAAGAAAACAAAUUCUGGUCAAAAUCGGGUGAAGAGGAAGAAGAUUCGGGUCAAAAUCAGGUUUAAAUUUGGUUAAAUUUGAAUUAAAUCAAACCGGGUUAUGUGGUACCGGUUUAUUGGCCGGUUCAAUUGGAGGCGUAGUUUUAAAGAUGAAUCCGAAAGUACAUGUUGCAAUUGUGAGAAUUAUCUAAGUUUAUGGUGGAAUUUUCAGAGGCAAAAAGGUUGGGGGAAAAAUCUGAGAAUGCAACUAGUUUAUGGCUAUAAAAUCAGCCAACCCAAACUAAAUUCGUAAAACUAUUUCCUCAGUUUUAGAUUAAACCGUUUAAAAUUCUCUCCUAACCAUUUUAGAAGAGAAUUUUGGAAAAUAAAACAUGAAAUGUUGUAUUUUUGUAUACUUCAAAAUUUUGAAACGCACAAA